rnacentral:lncRNA from 1 species
GUAAAAGUACAUUCAUUACUCAGGUAUGUGUCCAGCCUUUGCAAGAAUACAAUCAGGAUGAGGGUUUGUACUCAUUUGAAGUCGUGUGUGUGUGUGUGUCUUUGGUUUGGUUUGUUUUUUGUCAAUGUUGUGCAAAGCAACAAGCCCGUUGCACAAUCCAAAUUAAAUACAGAAGACUCAGUAAGUUGUUUAUCAUAGUGUUCCUCUCAGAAGUGCAAAGAAAAUAAAAUUGUUGUUUUGCCCUGGAAUGAUUUCCUUGCGUUUGGUCAAAGAGCAGUAGGGGUGAUCCAUGUGGCUUAGAACUGAGACUGCCUACUUUGUCGUAUACACAUUGAUUUGUCCUGCAAAAGGGGAAACUUAGCAAUUCAACAGUCUUGAAAUUUUUAUGAUUGUGAUGUUCCCUGCCUAGAAAUGGAGUUCUGGAGUGUAGUGUGGAAAUGAACAGCAGCAGGAGGCUUUAAUGAAAAUUGGCCAUGGCAAAGAAAAGCAGGAACUUUAAAAUGAAGAUGAUUAUAAAUGCAGUUCAGAAUAAUGAUUAUAUACUUUUCAUCAAGACUGACAGAGACUUCUUUACCCAGCUAGGAAAAUUAUCAACAGUGCAAUGCAACAAUCAUGGCAAUGAUAUGCAUGAGGUUAUCUAUGAAAGGAGAGAGCACUCCUCUUUAAUUGGAUGGUGGAAAUGGAAUUCAUCUUAAAAUGAGAGUUUUUCAGAGGAAAGAAAAAGUAAUCAAACCAAUGGCAAAGAAGACAAUGAGAAUGAAAAGAGGUGAAAUUGAGUUAUCCUUAAAAAUGAAACAGUGUAACUUCCUCUAAGAUUUCACAGUAUCUUUUCUCCCUUUUUAACAAUCUUGAUAUGGCACACCAUAGUUGACAGUCAGGAGCAAGAAACUCCUGGAGGCCAAGCCUUUGAGUGCUGAAAAUUACUUACUGAGUAAUGGAAAGAAAGCUAAAAAAUACUGUGGUGGAUGAGUACUUUCAGAGAUUUACUGCUUUUCAGUUCUGCUAGGUCAAAUUUGGAACCAUAAUCUUGAUUAAUGGAAAGUUUUGAUGAUCUUGUACUUUGGCACAAACAUGGUUUAAUAUUUCUUCAAAACCACUUAAUUCACCUACUUUACUUCAAGAAAACUGUCUAAGAGAACGUCUUAUUGUUCACAAACAAUAACAUCCUUCAGAGUUUCAUUAGUGUUCAUUUGCAAGGAGUGUUUGUAAAGCUCAAUCAAUGUAGACUGCAUUAGGUGUGACACUGAAGGGAUUAGAGGAA